rnacentral:rRNA from 1 species
GAUGAACGCUGGCGGCGUGCCUAAUACAUGCAAGUCGAGCGAACAGACGAGGAGCUUGCUCCUCUGACGUUAGCGGCGGACGGGUGAGUAACACGUGGAUAACCUACCUAUAAGACUGGGAUAACUUCGGGAAACCGGAGCUAAUACCGGAUAAUAUAUUGAACCGCAUGGUUCAAUAGUGAAAGACGGUUUUGCUGUCACUUAUAGAUGGAUCCGCGCCGCAUCAGCUAGUUGGUAAGGUAACGGCUUACCAAGGCGACGAUGCGUAGCCGACCUGAGAGGGUGAUCGGCCACACUGGAACUGAGACACGGUCCAGACUCCUACGGGAGGCAGCAGUAGGGAAUCUUCCGCAAUGGGCGAAAGCCUGACGGAGCAACGCCGCGUGAGUGAUGAGGGUCUUCGGAUCGUAAAACUCUGUUAUUAGGGAAGAACAAAUGUGUAAGUAACUAUGCACGUCUUGACGGUACCUAAUCAGAAAGCCACGGCUAACUACGUG